AUUUCUUAGUUUUAAUUAAGAAUGGGCUCUGCUCAAUGCUUAUGUCAAUAGCCGCAGUAUUUUGACUGUGCAAAGGUAGCAUAAUAAUUAGUCUUAUAAUUCAAGACUGGAAUGAAAGAGUCAACCUAAAGAAAAUUAUUUUUUAUUUAAUCUCCAAAUUUUACUUUUUAGUAAAAAGGCUAAAAUAAUUUUUACAGACAAGAAGACCCUGUAAAACUUUACAUAUUAAUAUUUUAAAAUUAAAAAAUAUGUUCAGCUGGGGCGGCAAAAGAUUCAAACAUCCUUAGAAUAAAAUUAUAUUUUAAUAUACCCAGAAUUUCUGAAAAUUAAAUAAGCUACUUCAGGGAUAACAGCGUUAUAUAUUUCAAAAGACCUUAUUGACAAAUAUGUUUGCGACCUCGAUGUUGGAUUGUAUUUCCUCUUUUCUGAAGAAGGAAAAAAAGGAGGUCUGUUCGACCUUUAAAAAUACCCA
rnacentral:rRNA from 1 species